AGUGAACGCUGGCGGUAGGCCUAACACAUGCAAGUCGAACGGCAGCACAGUAAGAGCUUGCUCUUACGGGUGGCGAGUGGCGGACGGGUGAGGAAUACAUCGGAAUCUACUUUUUCGUGGGGGAUAACGUAGGGAAACUUACGCUAAUACCGCAUACGACCUACGGGUGAAAGCAGGGGAUCUUCGGACCUUGCGCGAUUGAAUGAGCCGAUGUCGGAUUAGCUAGUUGGCGGGGUAAAGGCCCACCAAGGCGACGAUCCGUAGCUGGCCUGAGAGGAUGAUCAGCAACACUGGAACUGGGACACGGUCCAGACUCCUACGGGAGGCAGCAGUGGGGAAUAUUGGACAAUGGGCGAAAGCCUGAUCCAGCCAUACCGCGUGGGUGAAGAAGGCCUUCGGGUUGUAAAGCCCUUUUGUUGGGAAAGAAAAGCAGCAGGUUAAUACCCCGCUGUUCUGACGGUACCCAAAGAAUAAGCACCGGCUAACUUCGUG
rnacentral:rRNA from 1 species